GCAGGGCGGGCCAAUGGCGGCGGCGGACGGCCGGGGUCCUGCCCGGCCCGGGCCGCACUGCGCCGCCCGCGCCCGCCCGCCCGCCGCCGGGGCCGCCCCGCCGCCCAGCGACCGGACGGAGCGCGGGGCGGAGAGCGGCUGCGGCGGGCGCGGGCGGCGGCUCCGGUCUGUCCGUCCGCCCGUCCGUCCGGGACCUUCGCCGCCGCGCCUCCCGCGGGCGCCGCGCUCCGGCCGCAGGGGCGGGAGCCAGGCCGCGGCCGCCGCCCCCACGAUGACGGAGCUGAGGUUCGGAGAGGCAGUGACAGACCACGUCUGCUAGGGCAUCCCCCGCAGGAGCCAGGUGGUUGGCCGCGGGGCCCAUGCCGUGAGGCGGGCGCUGCCCCCGCCAGCA